UGGGGAAUAUUGGACAAUGGGCGCAAGCCUGAUCCAGCCAUGCCGCGUGAGUGACGAAGGCCUUAGGGUUGUAAAGCUCUUUUAUCAGGGACGAUGAUGACGGUACCUGAAGAAUAAGACACGGCUAACUUCGUGCCAGCAGCCGCGGUAAUACGAAGGUGUCUAGCGUUGUUCGGAAUCACUGGGCGUAAAGCGCGCGUAGGCGGCUUUGCAAGUCAGAGGUGAAAUCCUGAGGCUUAACCUCAGCAUUGCCUUUGAAACUGCAGAGCUAGAGUAUUGGAGAGGAGUGGGGAAUUCCUAAUGUAGCAGUGAAAUGCGUAGAUAUUAGGAGGAACACCGAUGGCGAAGGCACCACUCUGGACAAUCACUGACGCUGAGGUGCGAAAGCGUGGGGAUCAAA
rnacentral:rRNA from 1 species